UUGCUCUUGAUGACGAGUGGCGCACGGGUGAGUAACGCGUAUGCAAUCUACCUAUAACUGAGGAAUAGCCCAGAGAAAUUUGGAUUAAUACCUCAUAAUAUUAUUAUUUGGCAUCAUUUAAUAAUUAAAACUCCGGUGGUUAUAGAUGAGCAUGCGUUCUAUUAGCUAGUUGGUGAGGUAAGAGCUCACCAAGGCUACGAUAGAUAGGGGGCCUGAAAGGGUGAUCCCCCACACUGGUACUGAGACACGGACCAGACUCCUACGGGAGGCAGCAGUGAGGAAUAUUGCACAAUGGAGGAAACUCUGAUGCAGCCAUGCCGCGUGCAGGAUGAAGGCCCUACGGGUUGUAAACUGCUUUUUUACAAGAAGAAACCUUGGUACGUGUACCAACUUGACGGUAUUGUAAGAAUAAGCACCGGCUAACUCCGUGCCAGCAGCCGCGGUAAUACGGAGGGUGCAAGCGUUAUCCGGAUUUAUUAGGUUUAAAGGGUUCGCAGGCGGAAUUUUAAGUCAGUGGUGAAAGCCUACAGCUC
rnacentral:rRNA from 1 species